CUUUGCCGGGCUCAUAGGCCACCAAAAGCACGUCAAGAUACUGUUAAUUUUUCAGUUGUUGGUCUCUCUAGUGAGUUGUGAGACUGAACAGACACGAAUAGUCGAGUUUAAAAUGAGAAAGAUCAAAAACACUUUGACAUUUCCUGUGAAUGGGGCGAUGUGUUGUUUUUCUUACAUUAUUCAACUGUUUCAAAUCAGAAUUAGACGCAGUUCUUUGUUUUGAGUCUACCAUGAUAUCCAUUGUAUGAGUCAGGUGUCCCUCGAAAAUUCAUUGUCACCCGGGGGGAAAAAUCCAGAGAGCUCAGGUUUCGAUUAUUAAAUCGUAACUUAUUAAUAUUCCUUAGUCCUUGUGGCCUAAUGCCGCUUGUUCAGUAUUGGGGGUUGUUUUAAUUGGCAGCUUUAAUGAAAAGAGAAUAAUUUUAUGUUAAUAUGUCCUUGACGAACAGCCAGACAUUGUCAGGUCGUGAAAAUUUGAAAUAUAACUUGUUAUGCACAAACAGGCAGCCAGCGUUAGAGGCUUGGUCUUAAGAGUUCUGGAAACAUCGUGAAACCCUUCAAUUAUAUAAAUUUUAAGAAAUAUUCUCGAAUGAACUGAAAUAUCAUGAUGAAAUCACCCAACUGAUCAAACGCGUAAAGCAUACAUAUUAUUGUAGAGAGAAAUACGAAACCAUCUUUCUAAGCAUGUCAAUAGGCUGAGUAACCAGGACCUCUUCAGUCUUCCAACCUCGUGGACACCCGGUUAACGGAACUUAACAGAAUGUAGAACCAAAAACACAAUAAUUUAUUACACAUUUGCUACGUGACUAUAAUGUAUAUUUUAAUGCACUAAACUGCAUCCAAUUGCAAAUAUAGGUGACCGAAUGCAAUAUAAAGUAAAAUAUUUCGAAUGGUUUUCUGAUGAAUUUCAACCGGAUAGACAAAACGGACUUACAGAACAAUUAACCGGUUUCAUAUAUGUCUUAAAAUAUCCUGGAGAAUAUCCUAUAGUGUGUUUAGUAUAUUGUUCAUGAGGAAUAUAAAAUAUGGCCCAUGCAUGGAUAUUUUAUAAACGAAAACUCAAAAACUACAUCAUCAGUCCUAAAUAGAAUAUUUCUUGAAUUGAGCACCAGUAGGUACACAACGAGUCAACGACCUGCCUGCAAACAAGGAAUCGACGUGUGUUCUUGUAUGAAAAUGAAUGCAAUUCACUUGCACAUUUAGGAUAAAACACAAUUCAUUUUCGAAAACACGUUUUCUGGUUGAUAAUUCUACAGUCACUCAAGGAGAGCACGUUUCCUGUUUAUUAUAUAUGGAUGCACUCGCGGUCUUUGUCCGCCAAGUGACACUCCUAUAUACUGCUCAGUUUCCUGCUUGAGAUGCUCGUUUGAAGUCGCUUCUCUCUCCCACAGACAAUCUUUAAACAAGUUCGGUAUAUAUGCGUACGCUAAAAGGACGGAGUUGGCAGGAAUAGGAUAACCUGUUCCAAUCAACAUAAAAUCUAACGAAGAAUAUUCUGGUCGCUACACCGGAUGUCUGGAAAACCAGCAUUUAGACCGAGGGAACUUAGCGUCAGUGUAUAUGCGAUCAGUUCAAGCAAGCAUAUCCUAACUUUCUCAUGCGCAUUCCACGGCACUUGAUACAAAGAUAUGAAGGAAAAUAGAAUGGAUAUUUCGGUUUUGGCUCUAAUCACCUUGGUUGGGGUUGCUUAUGCAGCAAACGAAACAAUAAAAUCUGGGAAUAUGGAAGACCUGUACCCGAAAUCAUUCAAAUUAGUAGGAGAAGGAGACUUG